rnacentral:tRNA from 1 species
CGGGAUAUGGUGUAGUGGUAGCACGCACCCUUCGGGAGGGUGUAGCCCCAGUUCGAAUCUGGGUAUCCCGA